rnacentral:rRNA from 1 species
UACGGGGGGGAGCAAGCGUUGUUCGGAUUUACUGGGCGUAAAGGGCGCGUAGGCGGUCGUGACAAGUCACUUGUGAAAUCUCCGGGCUUAACUCGGAACGGUCAAGUGAUACUGUCGGACUAGAGUACAGAAGGGGCAACUGGAAUUCUCGGUGUAGCGGUGAAAUGCGUAGAUAUCGAGAGGAACACCUGCGGCGAAGGCGGGUUGCUGGGCUGAUACUGACGCUGAGGCGCGAAGGCCAGGGGAGCAAACGGG